UGGGGAAUUUUGGACAAUGGGCGCAAGCCUGAUCCAGCAAUGCCGCGUGUGUGAAGAAGGCCUUCGGGUUGUAAAGCACUUUUGUCCGGAAAGAAAUCCGUCUGGCUAAUACCCGGACGGGAUGACGGUACCGGAAGAAUAAGCACCGGCUAACUACGUGCCAGCAGCCGCGGUAAUACGUAGGGUGCGAGCGUUAAUCGGAAUUACUGGGCGUAAAGCGUGCGCAGGCGGUUUUGUAAGACAGAGGUGAAAUCCCCGGGCUCAACCUGGGAACUGCCUUUGUGACUGCAAGGCUGGAGUGCGGCAGAGGGGGAUGGAAUUCCGCGUGUAGCAGUGAAAUGCGUAGAUAUGCGGAGGAACACCGAUGGCGAAGGCAAUCCCCUGGGCCUGCACUGACGCUCAUGCACGAAAGCGUGGGGAGCAAACA
rnacentral:rRNA from 1 species